rnacentral:rRNA from 1 species
CCUACGGGCGGCAGCAGUGGGGAAUAUUGGACAAUGGGCGAAAGCCUGAUCCAGCCAUGCCGCGUGUGCGAAGAAGGCCUUCGGGUUGUAAAGCACUUUCAGUGGGGAAGAAAGCCUUGGGGCUAAUACCCUCGAGGAAGGACAUCACCCACAGAAGAAGCACCGGCUAACUCCGUGCCAGCAGCCGCGGUAAUACGGAGGGUGCGAGCGUUAAUCGGAAUUACUGGGCGUAAAGCGCGCGUAGGCGGUCUGAUAAGCCGGUUGUGAAAGCCCCGGGCUCAACCUGGGAACGGCAUCCGGAACUGUCAGGAUAGAGUGCAGGAGAGGAAGGUAGAAUUCCCGGUGUAGCGGUGAAAUGCGUAGAGAUCGGGAGGAAUACCAGUGGCGAAGGCGGCCUUCUGGACUGACACUGACGCUGAGGUGCGAAAGCGUGGGUAGCAAACAGGAGUAGAUACCCGUGUAGUC